UUGUUUAAUUAUCCAAACGAUGAUGACGUGUGUUUGUUAGUAACGGUUUAUUAUUAUUUUCUUUGGUUAAAAUAAGAAACAUUAUUUUUUAUUAAAAUUAGUUAACGGUAAAAAGCGACAAUAUAUUAUACUGAACAAUAAUGAUUUUGUUUCGAACAAAUAUGUAUGGAUGUAAGUUUAUAUGGAUUUUAAUUUUAACAUCUCGAAUCGCAAGAUCCUUGGCAUGUAAAGGUUGCGUAGAACUGGAUGAGUAUAAUUUUGAUAAGCUUAUCAAAGUAUUCCCCACUGUUCUCGUCAAAUUUGAUAUUGCAUUUCCGUUUGGGGAUAUACAUGAAACUUAUGAGAAAUUUUCUAAGGAGGUAUCAAAAUCCCAAGAUUUGUUAAUAGCACAAGUAGGCGUAAAGGAUUACGGAGAUCGAGACAAUGAAAAUAUUGCUAAUAAAUAUAAAAUUAAAAAGGAAGAUUUUCCGACAAUAUUAUUAUUUAAAGAUGGACAGCUCGAUGAGCCUAUCAAAUUUUCUCGAUCAGAAGGAUAUACUUUGGAAAACUUAAAACGAUUUGUUAAAAUUAAUUCUAAAGUUUAUUUAGGGGCACCCGGUUGUAUAGAACAGUAUGAUAAAUUAGCAACAAGAUUUUUAAGCGAGAAAAAUGAAAGACCGGCAAUUAAACAAGAAGCAGAGCUUUUGCUGAAGGAUCAAAAUUCAGAAAAUAUUCAAUUUGCAAAGAACUAUAUAAAAAUUAUGGAUAAAGUUAUCUCAAUUGGCGAAGAUUUUGUUGAAAAUGAGCAAAAAAGAAUUCAAAGUUUGAUACAAGGAAAGUUAUCACAAAAUAAAAAAGAACAAUUGUUACUGAAAAUGAAUAUAUUGGAUUCAUUUGCCAAGUCUUCCACCAGAGACGAAUUAUGAAUGUUCUUAACAAAAGAAGAAAAAGACAAGUUUCUUUAGGAUAAUUUUUUUUUUCAACAAAAAUGCAGAAUUAUCAUCUUCAAAGGAUUUGGUUGGGUUUAAUUCAUCGUCACCUCCCAAUGAAUUUUUACCAUCUGUCGAAUCAUUAUCAGAGUCGGAUUCAUCCUUAGAACUUACAUUAACUGCAGUUUCUUCUCCAU